AUUGAACGCUGGCGGCAGGCCUAACACAUGCAAGUCGAGCGGAUGACGGGAGCUUGCUCCUUGAUUCAGCGGCGGACGGGUGAGUAAUGCCUAGGAAUCUGCCUGGUAGUGGGGGACAACGUUUCGAAAGGAACGCUAAUACCGCAUACGUCCUACGGGAGAAAGCAGGGGACCUUCGGGCCUUGCGCUAUCAGAUGAGCCUAGGUCGGAUCAGCUAGUUGGUGGGGUAAUGGCUCACCAAGGCGACGAUCCGUAACUGGUCUGAGAGGAUGAGCAGUCACACUGGAACUGAGACACGGUCCAGACUCCUACGGGAGGCAGCAGUGGGGAAUAUUGGACAAUGGGCGAAAGCCUGAUCCAGCCAUGCCGCGUGUGUGAAGAAGGUCUUCGGAUUGUAAAGCACUUUAAGUUGGGAGGAAGGGCAGUAAGCUAAUACCUUGCUGUUUUGACGUUACCGACAGAAUAAGCACCGGCUAACUUCGUGCCAGCCGCCGCCGUAA
rnacentral:rRNA from 1 species